AUGAUAAAAACUAUCAAUAAAGAAAGCUCUUGCAAUCAAUUUAUUUUUCAAAUAAAUAGAAUAAAUUUUUUUAUUGAAAUUGAAUACAAAUUCAUCUUGUGCUAGCACAAACAUAGAAAUCAAUUGUGCUAGCUACAGGAACAUAAUAAUAGUCUUUGAGAAUUAAUUUAGAUCUUAAUGGUAAUUGUAGAAGGUAUGUUCCAACGG
rnacentral:lncRNA from 1 species